CUCUCUCUCUCUCUCUCUCUCUCUCUCUCUCUCUCUCAUUACAUCUACCUACAACAAGAACAAUGAUUCUCGAGCCUUUCAUCCAAUCAAUCUUUCAACGAUCAGAGUUUGCAAGCUUGGAGCGGUUGGCGCUAUGAUCUGGAAUCGUCGUGGAGAUUCUGGCGUCAGUGAGCGGUUAGGAUUAUGCAGCAACAAGGAGGAUCGGUUUAGCAUGGGAUUUUGAACAACAGAAGGCAUAAGGCAGGUCUUGACUAAGGUUUACAUAUUUGGGGCUAGUGCUUUUUCAGGAUGAGGAGUGGCUCGAGCUGUUAGUGAGGUUGUAGUUGACAAUCCGGUCAAGUGAGAUCUUACACAUUUCAUUCCAUGUUAGCAUUAUGUUGCUGGUUGUAUUUUAUAUUUGAAUGUUGUUUAUUUAUUUA